AAGUGGAUCCGGAGAGGAUCAUCUUCCUCAAAAGACAAUCACAAAAGCCUGCCAAGAUAUAUGUAUAAGAGUUCAUCCCAAAUUCAAGGAUCCUAGGAUCCUCACAAAAAUGAUCCAGAGAGGAUCCUCAUUGCAAACCCAAUAUUCCAAUUGGAUACCACUUUAACACUCUCAAAUUACUUUGUUGAAUAUCAAAUUUGAGAUUUAUGU
rnacentral:lncRNA from 1 species